AUUGAACGCUGGCGGCAUGCCUUACACAUGCAAGUCGAACGGCAGCACGGGUGCUUGCACCUGGUGGCGAGUGGCGAACGGGUGAGUAAUACAUCGGAACGUACCUUAUCGUGGGGGAUAACGCAGCGAAAGAUGUGCUAAUACCGCAUACGCCCUGAGGGGGAAAGCGGGGGAUCGAAAGACCACGCGCGAUUAGAGCGGCCGAUGCCUGAUUAGCUUGUUGGUGGGGUAAAAGCCCACCAAGGCGACGAUCAGUAGCUGGUCUGAGAGGACGAUCAGCCACACUGGGACUGAGACACGGCCCAGACUCCUACGGGAGGAAGCAGUGGGGAAUUUUGGACAAUGGGGGCAACCCUGAUCCAGCAAUGCCGCGUGAGUGAAGAAGGCCUUCGGGUUGUAAAGCUCUUUUGUCAGGGAAGAAACACCGGCUCUAACACAGUCCGGGAAUGACGGUACCUGAAGAAUAAGCACCGGCUAACUACGUGCCAGCAGCCGCCGUAA
rnacentral:rRNA from 1 species